rnacentral:rRNA from 1 species
CUAAUACAUACAAGUCGAACGGAGAUUAGUAGCUUGCUAUUUAAUCUUAGUGGCGCACGGGUGAGUAAUAUAUAGCUAACUUGCCCAUUACUAAGGGACAACAGUUGGAAACGACUGCUAAUACCUUAUACUCCGUAUCUAUAUAAGUAGAUACGGGAAAGUUUUUCGGUAAUUGGAUAGGGCUAUAUCGUAUCAGCUAGUUGGUAAGGUAAAUGGCUUACCAAGGCUAUGACGCGUAACUGGUCUGAGAGGAUGAUCAGUCACACUGGAACUGAGACACGGUCCAGACUCCUACGGGAGGCAGCAGUAGGGAAUAUUGCUCAAUGGGGGAAACCCUGAAGCAGCAACGCCGCGUGGAGGAUGACACUUUUCGGAGCGUAAACUCCUUUUCUUGGGAAAGAAUUAUGACGGUACCCAAGGAAUAAGCACCGGCUAACUCCGUGCCAGCAGCCGCGGUAAUACGGAGGGUGCAAGCGUUACUCGGAAUCACUGGGCGUAAAGGACGCGUAGCCGGAUUAUCAAGUCUCUUGUGAAAUCUAACGGCUUAACCGUUAAACUGCUUGGGAAACUGAUAAUCUAGAGUAAGGGAGAGGCAGAUGGAAUUCUUGGUGUAGGGGUAAAAUCCGUAGAGAUCAAGAAGAAUACCCAUUGCGAAAGCGAU